rnacentral:rRNA from 1 species
UACGGGGGGGGCAAGCGUUGUUCGGAAUUACUGGGCGUAAAGGGCUCGUAGGCGGCCAACUAAGUCAUACGUGAAAUCCCUCGGCUUAACCGGGGAACUGCGUCUGAUACUGGAUGGCUUGAGUUCGGGAGAGGGAUGCGGAAUUCCAGGUGUAGCGGUGAAAUGCGUAGAUAUCUGGAGGAACACCUGUGGCGAAGGCGGCAUCCUGGACCGAUACUGACGCUGAGGAGCGAAAGCCAGGGGAGCAAACGGG